rnacentral:rRNA from 1 species
GACGAACGCUGGCGGCGUGCUUAACACAUGCAAGUCGAACGGUAAGGCCCUUUCGGGGGUACACGAGUGGCGAACGGGUGAGUAACACGUGAGUAACCUGCCCCUAACUCUGGGAUAACUCCUGGAAACAGGUGCUAAUACCGGAUAUUUAGCUGGGACUGCAUGGUCCUGGUUGGAAAGCUCCGGCGGUUAGGGAUGGACUCGCGGCCUAUCAGCUUGUUGGUGAGGUAAUGGCUCACCAAGGCUUCGACGGGUAGCCGGCCUGAGAGGGUGACCGGCCACAUUGGGACUGAGAUACGGCCCAAACUCCUACGGGAGGCAGCAGUGGGGAAUAUUGCACAAUGGGCGGAAGCCUGAUGCAGCAACGCCGCGUGCGGGAUGACGGCCUUCGGGUUGUAAACCGCUUUCAUCCAUGACGAAGCGAGAGUGACGGUAGUGGGAGAAGAAGCACCGGCUAACUACGUG